ACAACAUGAAAUUUUUUAUGUAUUUAGAUAAACUGCCAAUCAAGUGAUGAGCACAAAAUAAAGAUAUUCCAGACAAGAAAAGUUUGCCAACGCCUGAUGCUGGCAGUUGAAUAAUUGGAGAAUUACAAUAAAGUCACAGAGUUCAAUAAAAAAGAGGGACAGUUAGGCACUCCAGGAAACUUUUAAAAAAACUGAAUGUGAAGCAAUAAGUCAACUUGUCUGAACAGGAGGUAGGACCUUAAAGAAGAAAAAUGGAAUGAUUUCUACUUGAUAGGUAGAAUGCACAGUUACCCUAUUAGAGGUAUAAUGAAGAACAUAUGUGCCUUAUUUUUCAAGAUAAAAAGAUAAAAUGAAAUCAAUAUUAUUGAAAAGUAAAAGAGGAAGAAAAGAACAAAUAAAGGAAACCAAGGAAAUUGUUACUUGAAAGGUGUGGUUCACACAAAAAGCAUACUAAAAUUGUCAUAAUUUUGAGUGUAUGAAUGUAGAGUGCAUAGACACAUGAGUCUUGAUGUUGGUACCAUGGAGGGGGAAUGUGACCUUAGCUUAUUACCUGCUUCUGCAUUGAGUAUAUUUAUGUCAUUAUAAAGUUGAUAAAUUUUUGGCUUGUAACAUUGAGAAUCAACUUAGAAAAAAAGCAUUAAAAAUGUCAUUAUAACUAGGGAAAAAAUGCAAGUUUACACACAUUCAACAACAUAAAAGCCUGUCAAACAAGGGGUAAGAGAUGCUGACAGUUCUGUGCUGCAUCCAUGCAUGUGAUGGCAAGAGGAAGGUGUUUUUAACGUCUUUUCACAAUAUGAGGCAUUUCCUCAUCCAGCACAAAGGAGCAAAUGACUUUUCUCAUUGCACACCAAUGUAUUUGUCUUGAUAUAAAUCAAUAAAUUUUUCAAUUCCUCAAAAGAUGGACCUACUGUGCCAUUUUAUGUCCAAGUGAAACACACACACACACACACACACACACACAUUCUCUCUCUCUCUCCUCUCUCACACACACUCACUCUUCUAUGUAGAUCUUUUUAUUAAUCUUUGCAGCAUCUAAAUGACUAAUAUGGUACUUUGCAUUGUAUUUUGUUUAUAUUGAUGGAAUUCAAUUUUUACUUCAAUAGUGUUUAAAACUCCAUAAAACAGAGUAUAUUUCUGGACAUUUACCUAGGCUGAAUCUGUAGAAUGAGCUUCGUCCAAACUAAAACUAAGUAAGAAUGUUUUUCUUAAGAAUUCAGUACCCUAUUCAUGGAAACUAAAUUUUCGUAUAAAUAAAGUGAGCUGCCUUUUAUUCUUAUUCUUCCUGUUGACUAGAGGCAGGAACAAUACAAUGAUUCAAAGUGAAGAUCACUAUGAGGCUGUUCACAGCUGUGUUGACAGCCAUGAAUCAAACUGUGAAGUUUAAGUAUGUCAUGUAAACAUCUAAGUUACUAAGUAGAUGUUUUCUUUGAACAACCUCUACUUAGUAGCUUAAGAACUCAUGUCAAAAACUGUUAUAAUAGUUAGACUAUAAAGGAUAUACUCUUUCUUUAAAAUGAGAAUGUUAAAGCCUUAAUUAGAAUUCAAAUUACUUAAAUUGAUAAUUUCGAAGAUGAUUUCAAAUGAUAGUCUUGAGUCAUAAAUGCAGCAGAUCUUUAGAUCUAGUAAGCCCUGUAGCCACAGAUCUACCACCACCAGCACCCCUCAAUCUUCUAGUGCU